UACGUAGGGGGCAAGCGUUGUCCGGAAUCAUUGGGCGUAAAGAGCGCGUAGGCGGUCCGGUAAGUCCGCUCCGAAAGUCCGGGGCUCAACCCCGGGAGGCGGGCGGAUACUGUCGGGCUAGAGUCCGGAAGAGGCGAGUGGAAUUCCUGGUGUAGCGGUGAAAUGCGUAGAGAUCCGGAGGAACACCGACGGCGCAGGCAGCGUCCUGGCCGCUUGCUGACACUGAGGCACGAAAGCUGGGGAGCAAACAGG
rnacentral:rRNA from 1 species